rnacentral:rRNA from 1 species
CCUACGGGAGGCAGCAGUGGGGAAUUUUGGACAAUGGGCGCAAGCCUGAUCCAGCCAUUCCGCGUGCAGGAUGAAGGCCCUCGGGUUGUAAACUGCUUUUGUACGGAACGAAAAGGCUCUGGUUAAUACCUGGGGCUCAUGACGGUACCGUAAGAAUAAGCACCGGCUAACUACGUGCCAGCAGCCGCGGUAAUACGUAGGGUGCAAGCGUUAAUCGGAAUUACUGGGCGUAAAGCGUGCGCAGGCGGUUAUGUAAGACAGGUGUGAAAUCCCCGGGCUUAACCUGGGAACUGCAUUUGUGACUGCAUAGCUAGAGUACGGCAGAGGGGGAUGGAAUUCCGCGUGUAGCAGUGAAAUGCGUAGAUAUGCGGAGGAACACCGAUGGCGAAGGCAAUCCCCUGGGCCUGUACUGACGCUCAUGCACGAAAGCGUGGUGAGCAAACAGGAUUAGAUACCCUGGUAGUCCACGCCCUAAACGAUGUCAACUGGUUGUUGGGUCUUCACUGACUCAGUAACGAAGCUAACGCGUGAAGUUGACCGCCUGGGGAGUACGGCCGCAAGGUUGAAACUCAAAUGAAUUGACGG